rnacentral:rRNA from 1 species
GACGAACGCUGGCGGCGUGCUUAACACAUGCAAGUAGAACGGAGUGGCGAACGGGUGAGUAACACGUGGGUGACCUGCCCUGCACUUCGGGAUAAGCCUGGGAAACUGGGUCUAAUACCGGAUAGUGUGGGAUGGGCCCGCGGCCUAUCAGCUUGUUGGUGGGGUAAUGGCAUACCAAGGCGGCGACGGGUAGCUGGCCUGAGAGGGUGGACGGCCAAAGUGGGACAGAGACAGGGCCCAGACUCCUACGGGAGGCAGCAGUGGGGGCUAAUGGAAAAUGGGCGGAAGCCUCAUGCAGCGGCGCCGCGUCGGGGGUGUCGGCCUUGGGAUUGUAUACUCAUUUGACCUUUGACGCGGUAGAAGGAGAGGAAGCUCCGGCUAGCUACGUGGCAGCAGCCGCGGUAAUAC